UCUCUCUCUCUCUCUCUGUCUGUCUCUUUCUGACCCCCGGCAUAUUUAGGAAACACUAAAGAGAAAAAUGAUAGUCACGACUUUGACAUUCCUUGAGAUCCUAGUUCCUUAGGCAAAACAUCUGUAUUCUUUCUCUUUUCAGAAAAUUAUUUUCCUGCUAGGUCUAGGGACUUUGGUUUGUAAGAGAGAUCAUCUGGGAGUAAUUAGGCUAUGUCUUGGGCCAGAAUUCUGUGGACCAUGAUAAUACUUAGAAUGAAAACCUAAAGCCUAUGAUAGGUCCUCAGCAUGAGAGUCUCUAAUGGCAACAUAGGACUCUAAGGUAUUUUCAAGAAAGGAUUUACUCUAUUCUGAAUAACAUGAAGUACAAGACACAUAUACAUGGAUUGGGGAAAUAUAAAGAUUUCCAAAAGCAAUAUGUAAUAUAUAUAAACAAUAAAAAUGGCCUUUAUAUAAGGAAUGAUUAUAAAACCCAUGUUUUGUUUUGUUUUUUAAUUCAGGAGUAUUGGCACAUAUUUAUAACCACAACACUGAGGAGGCAGAAAUAAGCAGAUCCCUGGAGCCUCACUGUCUAGCUGCCCAGCCUACUAUGCAAGUUCAAGCUAGUGAGAGACCCUAUCUCAACAAAAGGAUCCAACCCAAGAUGCAUUUAGUUGCCAUGUUACCUUAGUGUCUUGAAGUUUCCCAAUGCUUUCUUGUAUUUCAUGACAUCGAGCCUUUUGAAGUAAGAAAACAAACAGGCAAUAAGCAGCACCUGCACCAAUUGGAAGAAGAGCAGCCUCCAUGUGAACAGCCCUCGCUAGCAACAUCAACAGACCUUAUAGGAACAAAUGUCUCCCCCAACAGCUGGGAAAACAGGCACAGGCAAAACCCACACUAGAUGGAAAAACAGACUCCAUAGGCACAAGUAAAGCCCACACCAGCCAGAAGAUCUGGACGAUACCCUGGAUCUAGGCAUACAAACCCAUAUAAAUCUCAGCUGAUCUAACAACUGGACCUGACAACCAGCCAAUCAGCAGAACCCUUGGCCAUUCAGGCCAAAAGACAAUAAAGGAACAAAAGACCCAUCCAACAACAACAACAACAAAAGUUACAAGAAUCAAUACCUGUACCUAUAAUGAUCACAAACCCAGAUGGGUAAACAGCAGUGUAAGAAUACAUUCAACAACAUAAAGAACAAUAUGGCACCACCAGACCCUAGUGAUCCUACAACAGCAAGACCUGAACAUCCCAACACAGAUGAAACAGAAGAA